UUGCCUAGUUACCAGCACGUUAUGGUGGGCACUCUAAGGAGACUGCCGGUGACAAACCGGAGGAAGUGGGGAUGACGUCAAGUCAUCAUGGCCCUUACGGCCUGGGCUACACACGUGCUACAAUGGUCGGUACAAAGGGUUGCCAAGCCGCGAGGUGGAGCUAAUCCCAUAAAACCGAUCGUAGUCCGGAUCGCAGUCUGCAACUCGACUGCGUGAAGUCGGAAUCGCUAGUAAUCGUGAAUCAGAAUGUCACGGUGAAUACGUUCCCGGGCCUU
rnacentral:rRNA from 1 species